GUCAGACAACACUGAGAACGCUGAAUGCAUUGUGCUUCAGGACUCCAGAACUGAUUUUUCAGGAAAUUCUGGGGAUACCUCCAAUGCUGGAUGGAGAUGGAGAAGCCACAGGUUCUGGAACAAUUGGAAAAGCUGUCGAGGAGCCUGGCAUGUUUUGUUCCCACACUAUUUAUGUGUUUGAUCUUGAACUGCUGCAGUCCUUAGAGUGAAGGUACAUCCACAGUAUUGGUACAAAUAGAAUUCCAGGAUUUUAACCCAGCAACAAUGAAGAAACAGUGAUACACUUCCAAAUCAAGAUGA